rnacentral:lncRNA from 1 species
AAUAAACAAUACAAGAUUUAUCGUGAUUCGUCGUCAACUGUAACCUAUAUUUACACGGACAACUAUUAGAUUUUCAUUCUAUCAUCUUGCACACACAAUGAUUAAGCUCACUCACUAAACAUGGUGCCUAGUCAGUCCAAUCCAAUUGGUCUUGGCUUCAUUCCCAACAAUCUCCCAAUUGAAGUCACAGAACAAUGUUCACCUACGUUUCAAAUGUGUACUAUGAUUAACCUCACUCACUGAACAUGGUGUCUAGUCAACCUAAUCUAAUUGGUCUUGACUUCGUACCGAAUAGUACCGAACA